UACGGAGGGGGCAAGCGUUGUUCGGAUUUACUGGGCGUAAAGGGCGCGUAGGCGGCCCGACGCGUCCGGGGUGAAAUGCCGCAGCCCAACUGCGGCACUGCCUCGGGUACGGUCGGGCUGGAGUGGUGCAGGGGUCCGCGGAACAUCCGGUGGAGCGGUGAAAUGCGUUGAGAUCGGAUGGAACUCCGGCGGCGAAAGCGGCGGACUGGACACCAACUGACGCUGAGGCGCGAAAGCCAGGGGAGCGAACGGG
rnacentral:rRNA from 1 species